CCCCCGGUAGUUUCCCCGCUUUCCUUCUCGUGUGCAGGAAAGAAACGGCAACUUUAGCCUUUUGUAAAGGCAGGUGGGGUGUGCGCGCAAGAGUAGAUGCGUAGCUGUGGUCGGGUUCGGGGUAGCAGACGAGCAAAACAAAGCUGAUCUUUGCAGAGCCUCAUCUUCCUUUCUCCCAGCUGUAAUUACCGUGAAACUAAAGAGGAAGGGCUGUUUGUGUUUGUUUGCAGGAUAUUGAUUCUGUGAGCUAGGAAAGCAACACGUUUGCAAAAGCUGAUCAGUUUCCCCUCUGAAGUUCAGAAAUGGAAGACUAGACUGAAGUGGAAAUAUUAAACUCUUAAUUUAUUUCCUACAUAUUUCCAUUUGUCCUUCAUCACCGCCUCGUCCUUUUUACAAUUUCAAUGCAGAGAACCACAGUUCGCAAAAUUGGAAUUGGACAUGUACUGUCAUGUUGUUUGGGCCAGGGGGCGAAGACUCCAGCACGGGGAAAUUUAAACUGAUCUCUAACUGGUCUCAUAACCAAUGAACACUUUAUUUCAACAUGCUUGCCUCAGAUGGACCCGCAAGAAUUGCAUGCCUCAGUACAUUGUUAAAAGACAGAGGAAAAAUCCUUAGUCCUUACUCUGAUUAACUCCCAGUGACUAUAAGGAGUGGUUAGCCUAAGGGCCAAGUUUAAACCAAAUAAAGAUUGAGGAUUUGGAGCAUGCAGAGUUUGUGAUUUUCUAA